UGGAAUCUGGCUUAGCAUUAGGCCAAGUGAGCACAGAGACUUGCACUGCUGCAUAUUUAAAAUUACUUGUCAGGAAAAGGAGCUACAGAGAAGAGGGGCUGUGACAGGGGAAGGCAAACAUCCGCACCGUUCAAUAAUUCAGCGCAGAGCCGGUCUUGGCUGCUAAGUUACCACCACAAGGAGCAUUUUUAAAGUCAAACCGAAUUUCCAUGAGAAGUCAUGCCUGAGCAAGCUGGAUCGUUGCCAAAAGACAAGAGAAGACUCCAGACCUUUCUGUAAACAGGCCCUGAGAGAUACGGGGUACUGCAUGAUAAAGCUGUCAGUCUGGUCGCAGCAGCCUGGCAUGUGACUCAUUUGCAUAUGUCACUUCCUUUAGCGUAAUCCAGUCCAUGGGCCUCUAACUUCCAAUCCUGUGGGCAAAUAAAGCUGUCCAGCACAACCUGUGACGAUCAGAUUCAGGCUGUAUUUAGUGGGGGAGGGAUCUGGCCUCAUAUCCUUCAUCUUUAUGCUGCUCCACUCCAGCUCACAGCCCCUCCAACUGGAUGGAGCUCUUCGAAGGGAGGGGCAUUUCAGAGGAGGGUCUCAGGGAUAGCCCCUUUGUGGGGCUGGGCCACCAGGUUGGGGAGAGUGGAGCUGCUGGAACUCUGGAGGGACUGGCUGAGCCAGCUUUCCCAGUGCACCCCUCUGGGAGGGCAGGCUCUCGGUGUAGGCUGCCCAUCUCCUCGCUCUCCUCUGGCACUGCUCCUAUGCCCCCUUGGUUAGCCUGGGAGCCCAUACUACCCAGACUUGGGGUCAAUAAGCAGAGGACCUGUAAGGAGUCCUUGAUGGGAUGUACAGCACUGCCCAACCCUGCACAAGGUAGGGUAUUGCUGUUUGUUGUGUGGUGAGCUGCCUGCUUAUGGCUGGGUUUGGGCCUCCAUCCAUUUUUAUUUUCUUUGAGUUGGUCUCUGGGCAAAGCUUCUCCCAGCAGGCGGAAUCUGGCCUGGGGGCUCCAGCUUCUCUCACCUGCCUGGCCUCCCAAGAGCUAGAGAGCUCCACAUCUCAACUCAUCUAUAACUCAUUAGCAGAACCAUCAGCUAGCAGAAACUAGGAAUAAUAAAAAUGUGCCGUAUUUUCACAAGCUGGAUGCCAGGCUUGGUGGUCAGGACACAGACUGCUUUCAGCUCCCACAUGCCCCUCCUGCUAGCUGCUUUGUGCAGAGUAGUGGCUACAUGGCUGCAGGUGAGAGCCCUGCCUGUGAACAGGCCACCAGGAUGCUGGGACAUACGAGUUGAUAACCCAUGGGCUCCUGAGAGCAGAGAUUGUGACUUACUCAUCUUUGAUGUAGCCAAGUUCUAACAAACCUAAAUGUGCAGAGGCUGUUCUGCAAAGCUGCCAUUCAUAGGGAGAACUGGCGAUGAAGUGUCUGUCAAAAGGACUGUUUUUACAAUUGGGACCUGCCUGUAGUGGUGAUGAGCCAUUUGUAAGAGAGGAUCAUGGAAUGAAUACGGGCAUUGAGUCAAGCAGUCUGUGUUCCACUGGCGGUGUGACCUGGGGCAGGCCAUUUCACCUCACUGAGCCUUAGUUUCCUCACCUGUAAAAUGUGAAAAAUAUCACCUUCCUUACCAGGCUUUUCUGAGGAUUUAAUGACAUCAUGUUCAGUGCCCAGUAUGGGUGGAUAAUACCCAGGAGUUUCCUCCUCUUCUCCUCCUAAGUUGACUUGAUGCCCCCCGCUGAAGAUCAUGGCUGAACUGGCUCAAUUCGGAUCCAGGACUCCUGGCUUUGUCUCUUCCCUAGUUGCCCACCACACCCAUGGACACCCUUAGGUAGUUUAUCCUUUUGGGACAACUGGAUUUAUUAGAAAAGGGUAUUCUGGGGUGGAAUAAGGCCCUUUUCAGUCCCCAUGGAGCCUUUUUGGAAGAUGAAGUUCUCAAACCCACAAGAGAAUUCAUAAGACGAGCACACCACCCACAGUUAGGUUUCCCUCUCAAGUGCUUUAUCUCCACGUGGGGCAAAUAGCUCUUUGUCUGCAUAUGUUAUUGGAGCUUUUGGAGUCCAGCCUUCAGAAGAGCUCUAAUUUUUGGAUUCAUAUCAGUUUAUUAGAGAAGCCUAGUUCUAAGGAUUAGCAAAUGGGUAGGUGCUCAGCCAGCCCAGAACAAGCAGAGCCAUGACAGAAGUUUCUGGAAUCUCACAGAGUCGGUGUCUUCAUGGACUCAGGGGGCCUAAAUCCAAUAGCCUGGAUUUGUCACUUUCCCUUAUUCCCUUAUCAAACUCUUCCCUUUUGGACAUCAGAGAAGGAAAGUACUUCCUGUAAGGGGGCAAUUUGCAAAGCUUCAUGGAAGUGGCAUUUGAGUGUGGCCUUAAAGGAUGUGUAGGAUUGGGAACCAUAGAUAUUUAGAGGAAGGCAUUCCUGGCAGAAGGAACAGCAGCAAAACACAGAAGUGGAAAUUAGUAGCAGCAUUAAUGGAGAAUAAUUUGGGGAAUAAGAUAUACAAAUGGAAUAAUAAAAAUAGCAUUAAUUAAACAUUGUGGGAGUCAUUCUGUAAGAUGGCCCCUGGUGAUCUCCGCCUCCUGUUCUUCAUGCCUUAUGUAACCGCUCUCCUUGAGUGUGGUCUGGAAUUACUGACUCACUUUCAAUGCACAGAAUGUAUCAGAAGUAAUGGGAUAUUCCUUCUGAGAAUAGAUUAUAAAAAAAGAGUGUGGCUUCCUUCCUGGCAUUUUCGCUUGCUCUCUCUUUAAUUGUGUGCUCCAAACAAAGCCAGCUGCCAUGUUGUGAGGAAGCCCUGUGUGGAGGACCACAUGGUGAGGA
rnacentral:lncRNA from 1 species